CCGGCGACAGAUAGUUCCAUUUGCAAAUUUCAUACUAAUUAUAUUUGUGAUCAAUUGACGCUAGUUUGGUCCAAAUCUGUGAGCAUACGUUGGGAGGCCUCCAUUGUUAGUUGAGAAAUAGAAUAACGAUUGGAAUGAUGGGAUCUCGUUUUAGUCUGCAGCGGCCAAACCGACGACAACGCCAUCAUAUUGUUGAGCCGAUUACAGCCCCAAGAAAAGGACGUCUGUUGUCCCGACUCCCUUAUGAUCCCAGAAAUGCUACAUUUGCGCUUUCCGAAACUCAAGUAAAAAUGUUCAAUGUCUUAAACCUCAAGCACUUCCAACAACAAAACUCUUUAAGCAACGAAUAUUCAGAUGUAGAAUUGAAUCAUGUCAGUUCAGGACAUAAUGAUGAUUUGGACCUAAUUCGGGGAUUAGCUGCAGUUGCUGUGGACCACGCAAGAUCGAAGGUUUGUGAAGAGUUCAUACGAAAGGAUCCAAUGCAAUCGAAACCAUUUACAUAAAAAGUUUUCAUGUAAAUUCAAGUAAUGUGCAGGGGACGGAUAGAAUGCUUUGCUCUUGAUAAACCAAACAAAAUGUAUUCGCUAUCAAACAAAACAGAAAUUAUAAACAUAUAUGUAGAUGGAAAUUCUUUUCUGCAUUUAAUUUAUUUGCAUUGCCUGGGUUCAUUAAUCUAUUUAUACAUACAAGUUAUCACUCGACGAUAAAAAUAAGAAACAUGAGGCAAUUGGAAUAAACUCGACCUAAUCGAUGAUCGAUGUACCAAUUCCAGCAGUACCAUCAACCUAAAAUAUGUAGCAGGCACAUUUUUAUAACAGCUUCUUCAAAACUCAGGACUUCGCAUUCAGUCAAACAUUUGGAUUUGGUUACUACUCGUUAAUAAGU